rnacentral:snRNA from 1 species
AUACUUAUCUGGUAGAGAAGAAACCCAUGAUCAAGCAGGUGGCUUUUCCAGUGUGAGGCUCAUGCCCUGCACUACUUUUUUUAAGAUCUUGGAGCAGAUCCUCCUG